ensembl:Y_RNA Y_RNA Y RNA
GGCUGGCCCAAAGGUACUGAGUUAUCUCAGUGGACUGUUUUCAGUCAGUUACAGAUGCAACUCCUUGUUCUACUCUUUCUCCCGUUCUCACUACUACACUUCACUAGUCUUAA